UAAAAAUACAUUUUACAAAUAGUCAAUAUAUGUGCUUAGUUGUGUUUUUGAAAUGUACCUAGUAAUAUUUGAACUAAGAUAUCUGCAAGAAAUAUAUGCUUUUCCUGUGUCCUCUGUACAUGUCUCAGCUGGGCUCGGGCUGUGUCCCAAAGCGGCGGGUCUAAGAAGCGGCUUAGCCAAUCACUGAUGAAGAUAAAUUAGUGACAUAUAAUUCCAGUGUCCUAAAAUACAUUCAGAUUUGGGCUAGCCCGUCGCCGCCCUACGCUGCGCUCUCGUCAGGGCGAGUCUCGCCACGCGCCAUUUAACAACAAAUCAAGAGCGACGACGAGCAGUGUCCUUCCAAGAAGACCGACCCGAACUCGGAACGUUCUCUCCUCCAAGACCCGUUUGAGAGAAACUAGAGGUGUUGAACCUCCCUCCACCUCCGGAGGGAUGAAGCCCUACGGACUGGCAGCCUCUGCCCCUCCCCGGGUGACACCCUACACUCAGUACCUCCUGAGCCUCCGGCGUGUCGCCAAAGCUGCCUCUGAGAGAUGCCGUCUACGGUCACCAAAGCCAUGGCGGAGUCCUACGGCCUCAUGCUCGUGGUCAUGGGCUCGUUUUUCCUCUACUUUUGUGCGAUGGUUUGGACUUUUUGCAACCCAAGGUUGAGCGGGGCGGACGAGCAGGAGAGCGGCCCCGUGACACCAGCUGGAGGACACGGGAACGAUUGCUGUGUGCGUGCGGCACCGAAGCGGCAUCUUGGGUGCACCUGCGACGGUUGGCGUGCACCAGCCCCGCGGGACGCCGGAGCCGAGAGGCUCACGCGCAUCACGUACGUGAACUUCUGGGACGACACUGAUGGUCUGCUGUCAGACUGCUUCUACCGGGAGGAACCGACAACCGGACGGGACCGGGUCCUGAACCGUUAGUGACCCAGCCUUCCAUCCCGAGCGCGUCCUCAUAUAACGUCAUCUCUCAGCAGCUCGGGGUCGUUGGCACAAUGUGAUAUAACUAAUAUUUGUGCUGUGAAUUCCUUCUUACAGAGAGGAAUACAAGUCUCGCCCUCCCAGUGA